CCUACGGGUGGCAGCAGUGGGGAAUAUUGCACAAUGGGGGAAACCCUGAUGCAGCGACGCCGCGUGAGUGAAGAAGUAAUUCGGUAUGUAAAGCCCUAUCAGCAGGGAAGAAAAUGACGGUACCUGAGUAAGAAGCCCCGGCUAACUACGUGCCAGCAGCCGCGGUAAUACGUAGGGGGCAAGCGUUAUCCGGAUUUACUGGGUGUAAAGGGAGCGUAGGCGGCAGUGCAAGUCCGGAGUGAAAGGCGGGGGCUCAACCCCCGGACUGCUCUGGAAACUGUACGGCUGGAGUGCAGGAGAGGUAAGUGGAAUUCGUGGUGUAGCGGUGAAAUGCGUAGAUAUUAGGAGGAACACCAGUGGCGAAGGCAGCUUACUGGACUGUAACUGACGUUGAGGCUCGAAGGCGUGGGGAGCAAACAGGAUUAGAUACCCUUGUAGUC
rnacentral:rRNA from 1 species